CUUGACUUGACUGUAUUUCCGAGACGUAACCAACUUCAGUGAGCAAUUGCUCACCUUUGAUGGCCACUGGCACGCUGGAAAAGUGUGCUCUUUACGGAUAAAUCCCAGUUUCAACUAUACCGGGCGUGUAUGGCGGCAUGUGGGCGAGCGGGUUUGCUGACUUCAGCGUUGUGAACAGAGUGCCCCAUGGUUGAGGUGGGGUUAGGGUAUGGGAAGGCAAAAGCUAAGGACAAACAACACAAUUGCAUUUUAUCGAUGGCAAUUUGAAUGCACAGAGAUACUGUGACGAGAUCCUGAGGCCCAUUGUCGUGCCAUUCAUCGGCCACCGUCACCUCAUGUUUCAGCAUGAUAAUACACGUUAGUGUUCCAGUUUACGCCAAUAUCCAGCAACUUCGCAGAGCCACUGAAGAGGAGUGGGACAACAUUCUAUAAGCCACAAUCAACAGCCUGAUCAACUCUGUGAAGGAGAUGAGGCAAAUGGUGGUCACACCAGAUACUGACUGAUUUUCUGAUCCACGCCCCUACUUUAUUUUUUAAAGGUAUCUGUGACCAACGGAUACAUAUCUAUAUUCCCUGUCGUGAAAUCCAUAGAUUAGGGCCUAAUUUAUUUAUUUAAAUUAACUGAUUUCAUUAUAUGAACUGUAACUCAGUAAAGUCUUUGAAAUUGUUGCAUGUUGUGUUUUAUAUUUUUGUUCAGUGUAGUUAGACCGGUUAGCUGUCAAUGCCACUAAAACAAUGUACACACUUCAAUGGGGUAAUAGGCUGUGUGUUGUGAUUUGGGGCGGCAGGUAGCCUAGUGGUUAGAGCGUUGGACUAGUUGGACUAGAAAGGUUGCAAGAUUGAAUCCUUGAAAAAACAAGGUUCAAAUCUGUCAUUCUGCCCUUGAACAAGGCAGUUAACCCACUGUUCCUAGGCCGUUAUUGAAAAUAAGAAUUUGUUCUUAACUGACUUAUCUAGUUAAAUAAAGGUAAGCAACAAUGACAAGAAGCUGCCAUGUGGGGAAUCACAGCUGGCUAGUUUUAUCUUGUUUUUCAUACCAUGUCUUGUAGAGGUGUAUCGGUACAAUUUAUGGGGACCUCGGUUCGGCCCAACUUGCUUAUGUGCACAUUAUAAUGAAAAUGAAUGAGUCUUAAUUGGCACAUUUCAAACGGUCCUUUUGUGAGGCGCAGCUAGGAACUACUUCUGUAUGAUGGCAAGUGGUGGGGUCGAAAAACGAAGAGGAUUCUCCAUUGUUUAAAUCUCCAGUUUGGGAACAUUUUGGCUUCCCAGUAGAUUACAACAAUGAUUGACAGUACCGUACCGUUAACUAUGUAGCCACUGCUCAACGAGAAUAGUCUAUGCAGCUGCCAACACCUCAAAUGUGUUGACACAUUUACGGCGGAACCAACCCAGUAGUCCUACCACCGGAGCAAGACGGAAACGCAAAAAAAAGUGCUCGAUCCACAUUACGAACUUUGCCCUCUCAGCACCCAUUUCAGCAAAUGGGUAGUACCCGCUCUAUAUAUGCAAACUAAAUCUGAAUUUGUCAAUGCACCCUGUGUUGGGUUUAGGCUAUUACAGAUGGAUGGACCUUCAGGGCUUACAGAGAGGUACUUAGUGGCAGCCCAUCACAUUAUUUCUGAGUGGGAGAUGAGAAGUAAUGCGCUACAGACACGCCCCCUUUAUGAGAGUCACACAAUUGCGCAUCUUUUUCUCUUUGUAAAAAAAGCAUAGCAAUGUCAGCCAUGUUUCUAUAUUGAUUUCACAUGCAUAUUGCACUUUAUUUUAGUGUUGUUGAGUAAUCAUGCAUUUUCAUUUUAAGAAAAUACAAAAGGUUGUUAUUCCUGAUUUGUGCUCUCUUCAGGCAUUAUAUGAUCAUGGAAUACCAUCAGGAAUACCAACACUUUGUAUUUUCUUAAAUAAACAAAAAUUACUACAUUAACUUUUGCCAUUUAAUUUUCCCGACGUACCGAACCCAACCGUGACCCCAAAACCACAAUACAUACCCAACAGUGGGGUUGGUGAACUGUUACACCCCUAAUGUUUUGAGGUGUUUUGAUUGAUGUCACGUCUAUGCUAAUAUGGCAAGAAGUCGCUAGCCAACUAACGAACAACUGUAAUGGCGUAUUUGAGAGACAAGAACUCAUUGUGCAAAUGUAUUUGUUUUCAAUAAACAUUGGAGGCUAAAUAUAGUUUCUUGUCAACAA